AGUGAACGCUGGCGGUAGGCCUAACACAUGCGAGUCGAACGGCAGCACAGUAAGAGCUUGCUCUUACGGGUGGCGAGUGGCGGACGGGUGAGGAAUACAUCGGAAUCUACUUUUUCGUGGGGGAUAACGUAGGGAAACUUACGCUAAUACCGCAUACGACCUACGGGUGAAAGCAGGGGAUCAUCGGACCUUGCGCGAUUGAAUGAGCCGAUGUCGGAUUAGCUAGUUGGCGGGGUAAAGGCCCACCAAGGCGACGAUCCGUAGCUGGUCUGAGAGGAUGAUCAGCCACACUGGAACUGAGACACGGUCCAGACUCCUACGGGAGGCAGCAGUGGGGAAUAUUGGACAAUGGGCGCAAGCCUGAUCCAGCCAUACCGCGUGGGUGAAGAAGGCCUUCGGGUUGUAAAGCCCUUUUGUUGGGAAAGAAAAGCAGCAGGUUAAUACCCCGCUGUUCUGACGGUACCCAAAGAAUAAGCACCGGCUAACUUCGU
rnacentral:rRNA from 1 species